rnacentral:lncRNA from 1 species
AUGAGACAACUGUCCACAAGAGAAGCUUGUUUUUCUUUCAUUUGUGUUUUUAUUGCCUUUUGUAUCUUCUCUCAAGUUUUCUCCUUAUAGGACUUUCUCUGAUUGAAUAGUUUUGGCGUUUUAUAGGAUUGUCCUAUGAUACUCAUAGAGACUAGCAUUAUACCUAUACAGCCGGAACAUAGAGUCUAUCAUUAUAUCUAUACAGCCGGAACAUAGAGU